rnacentral:rRNA from 1 species
GACUCUCGGCAACGGAUAUCUCGGCUCUCGCAUCGAUGAAGAAUGUAGCGAAAUGCGAUACCUGGUGUGAAUUGCAGAAUCCCGCGAACCAUCGAGUCUUUGAACGCAAGUUGCGCCCGAGGCCACUCGGCCGAGGGCACGCCUGCCUGGGCGUCA